UACGUAGGGUGCAAGCGUUGUCCGGAAUUAUUGGGCGUAAAGAGCUCGUAGGCGGUUCGUCGCGUCGGCUGUGAAAACCCGGAGCUCAACUCCGGGCCUGCAGUCGAUACGGGCGGACUUGAGUGUUGCAGGGGAGACUGGAAUUCAUGGUGUAGCAGUGAAAUGCGUAGAGAUCAUGAGGAAGACCAGUGGCGAAGGCGGGUCUCUGGACAGUUCCUGACACUGAGGCACGAAGGCCAGGGGAGCAAACGGG
rnacentral:rRNA from 1 species